AAUUUUAAUCUUAAAAUAGACCACUCUAACUAUGAUUUCGGCUCAUAUUCAAACAAUUGAAAUAUUGUUUUAAGAUUC
rnacentral:tRNA from 1 species